GACGUAGGGUGCGAGCGUUGUCCGGAGUUACUGGGCGUAAAGGGCGCGUAGGCGGCUGCCCGCGUCGCACGUGAAAGCCCCCGGCUCAACCGGGGAGGGUCGUGCGAGACGGGGUGGCUAGAGGCAGGGAGAGGCUGGUGGAAUUCCCGGUGUAGCGGUGAAAUGCGUAGAGAUCGGGAGGAACACCGGUGGCGAAGGCGGC
rnacentral:rRNA from 1 species